UAGGAGACCAACUCUUUUGGUCAGCAGUAUACAACUUGAUGGUGUGGAGAGAUUCAGACUAUUCCAAUUAGUCUUACAAACACAUUGCUGUCAAUUCUGCAGAUCAUUCGUCUGCAGGACAGUCUGCAGGACAGUCUGCAGGACAGCCUGGUUUGAUGACGGGAACGUGACCAGCCAGGGGGACUCUGAGCUGUUCACAGACCUGCAAAGGAGGCACUGGGAGGGAGCGUGUGCUAGCCCCAUUGACAUGGAGGCCCAAACCGUGUCUGGCAUUAAGUUACUAUACACCAAUAACUUCUUCCACAGGUCAGGUUACUAAAGAGGGCGAUGUGGAGUCCAUUCCCCAGCUGCUGAACACCUUCCCUGGACAGGUGUGUCAGACUCCCAUCAGUCUUUAGGCCCAGACCACCUAUGGCAUCUCUGCUAAGCACACUGGAGAAACCUUCCUCUCGUAUGACGCUACCCAUGGCUUUGCCUGUGUGAAUGCGGAGCAGCCAGGAGGCAGGUGCUGUGCUAACCCUAACCCUACAAGGUCUGCUUUACCUGUCCUCUUAACUUCUGUUCAGUAAACAACGGGUCAACAUAAGGCCUGUUUAUGCACCAAAGCACACAUUUAUUCAGAAUUCCCUGCGGUUGAUUUGUACAUGUGCAAUAAAGGAUCAAAACGUAACCUGGACCCUAGAUCUGGGAAGUGAAAUACAUUUUCUAGAUUUUGCGUCCAGUUCAACACAUUCAACUUUCUGUGUUUACUGUAUGAUUUGAAUUCAUUAAUAAAGGAAACAGAAAUUC